CAAUAGCGUAUAUUAACGUUGUUGCAGUUAAAAAGCUCGUAGUUGGAUUUCUGGAGGGAGCGUCGGCCCGUAUUUACGAGUGCGUGACGUCUCUGUCCAUCCUUGCGGGAAGGCACGGCAUUGAUUUGUUGUGUCGGAUCGCAUCAUUUACUGUGAAAAAAUUAGAGUGUUCAAAGCAGGCUUUCGCUUGAAUACAUUAGCAUGGAAUAAUAAGAUAGGACUUUGGUGCUGUUUUGUUGGUUGAGCCUAAAGUAAUGAUUAAUAGGGAUAGUUGGGGGUACCUGUAUUGCGUUGUCAGAGGUGAAAUUCUUGGAUUUACGCAAGACAAACAGCUGCGAAAGCGUCUGCCAAGGAUGUUUUCAUUAA
rnacentral:rRNA from 1 species